AAACAACAACAACAACAAUAAUAACAACAAGAACAAUAAUAAGAGCAACAAUAAGAACAACAAGAACAUCAAGAACAACAACAACAACAUCAACAAAAAGAACACCAACACCAACACCAACAAUAAGAACAAAAAUAACUAACAUUUCUAACUUCAAUCCAUGUUUUCCUUGUCUCAUUCAAGUUGGAGAAGAGGUGAUGGAGUUCCG
rnacentral:lncRNA from 1 species